GACGAACGCUGGCGGCGUGCUUAACACAUGCAAGUCGAACGAAGUGGCGAACGGGUGAGUAACGCGUAAUCAACCUGCCCUUCAGAGGGGGACAACAGUUGGAAACGACUGCUAAUACCGCAUACUGAAGGUGGGGAUUGCGUCUGAUUGGGUAGGUGGAGGGGUAACGGCCCACCAAGGCGAGGGUCAGUAGCCGGUCUGGGAGGAUGAACGGCCACAGUGGGACUGAGACACGGCCCAGACUCCUACGGGAGGCAGCCAGGGGGAAUCUUCCGCAAUGGACGAAAGUCUGACGGGGCAACGCCGCGUGGGUGAUGACGGCCUUCGGGUUGUAAAGCUCUGUUAAUCGGGACGCGGUACCGGAAUAGAAAGCCACGGCUAACUACGUGCCAGCAGCCGCGGUAAUUC
rnacentral:rRNA from 1 species